AACGGACGUUAGCGGCGCGCUUAACACAUGCAAGUCGAACGAGAAAGGGCUUCGGCCCCGGUAAAGUGGCGCACGGGUGAGUAACACGUGGGUAACCUUCCCUUGAGCGGGGAUAACAUUACCGAAAGGAGUGCUAAUACCGCAUAAGACCACGGCUCCGAAAGGAGCUGAGGUUAAAGCAGGCCUCUGUACACAAGCUUGCACUCAAGGAUCGGGCCCGCGGCCCAUCAGCUAGUUGGUAGGUAAUGGCCUACCAAGGCAACGACGGGUAGCUGGUCUGAGAGGAUGAUCAGCCACACUGGAACUGAGACACGGUCCAGACU
rnacentral:rRNA from 1 species